AGCCGACGCUCCCAGGAGGGCGCGCCCGGGCCAGCGCGACACAGUGACCACAGAACAGGGCACAAUUCAGGCGCCGCCUGGAAAUGUAGUAGCACUGGCAGCGGGCGCGGGGCGCUGGCGCGGGGGGGUUGAAAACCCCAAGUGCCAG
rnacentral:ribozyme from 1 species